CAACGCUUUGCGAUAUGGCUUCCCGUGAGCCCUUGCGUGCAUCUGGCCCCACUGUAUCCCGUCGUGCCUGCGUCUUCCGGUUAGGACUGCUGAGCCCCGCCUCUUCCUGCGUAUAUCCGAUGAUGGCGCAGGGACAGCGUAAGUUCCAGGCACAAAAGCCAUCCAAGAGCAAGGCGAUGGCGGUGCCCUCGGAGCGGAACCGGGGUCCGAAGAAGGGAGGUCGUGUUAUCGCCCCCAAGAAGGCACGCAUUGUGCAACAGCGAAAGCUGAAGAAGGACCUGGAGGUUGGGAUCCGGAAAAAGAUUGAGCAUGAUGUGGUGAUGAAAGCCAGCACCAGCCUGCCCAAGAAGCUGGCUCUUCUGAAAGCCCCCGCCAAGAAGAAGUAAGCAGUCUCUUCCUCUUCCACCAAGACACCUUCCUAAGGACGCAGCCCCUGCCUCCAUGCUCAGAAAUCUUCAGUCACAUGCUCCUGUGGGCAGGCCAUUGCUGGGGCCAUAGGCCAGGAGCUCUGACCCAGUCAGCCCCAGCAGUUUCUGCAGGAGACCAGCCAUGUGCUCAGAGAAGGGUGAUUGGGCUUCUGCACAUACAUCCUGGGAGCUUUUGGAGAGUCUUGACCUCCCUCCAACCACAGGUGACUCACACCAAUCUUCUUAGUCAUCUGCAUGCCCUCCCCAGACAUGCCCAAGUUACCACUCUGCCCUGGACAAGCCAGGAGGUGUAGGGAGCCAUUUUCUCAUCUGUAGAACAGGUGUUGACACCAUCUUCAUGGUGGUGAUUAAACCAGAAUGCACUUAUGAACUGUUCAGAGCCACCUCUAUCUAUAAAAAAAAGUCUUAACAUCUACUAUGCCUAUGGCUAGUGCUUUCUGCACAUCACUUCAUCCCAGGUUGGGUCGUGCUGUUAGCAUUCCAGAGCCAGUACUUGAACCCACCACUGGCUGGAUCUCAGUGUGUACUCUCAGUUGAUCGUCUCCUGCCUCUCUUCCCACACCAAGAUCUCUCCUGUUUCAUCCUGAGUACCCCUUUCCCAGAUCGUCACUUGAGUCUGCUAAACAUCAAGAAGAUGCCUGUGGAGUCUCCGGGAGGUCUGGCCUGGUGACCACCCAUCCCUCCCUCUGAUGGGGGUGAGGAGUAGGUCACAGCACAGUGACCAGCCAGGCUGGGCCCAGGGGAACUCCAAACUGGAAAGUCUCUCCAAGUUCAAGCUCUGCUGCCACAACUGGCAGUUUUUUGAGGUGUAAGUUUAGGGUUUUUGUGUGUAUAAAAUUGCUCUCCCUGCUUUUGUGUAUAUGUGUGUGGUUAAAACUCACAUGUAAAAUUGACAUU